rnacentral:misc_RNA from 1 species
CCUAAUAUGAAAGUCUCCUCGUGUUUCUGUGGUAAAAAUUAUCUCCAUCAGAGUAUCGGAUAGUGUAUAUAAGUUAGCAAUGUCAGUGUUUGUAUGAAAUCUUUGUCAACCAUGCGCAAAUGCAAACAAUGGGAGAUGGUCAUUUUUGAAUAAAAGAGACUAACUUCACGGCUAUUUAUUAGGAAAAUGUUUAUGCACAAAACUGAUGAGAAAACAAAAUCCUUAUUUUAGUGGCUUACGCCAAACAGAAUAGAUAUAAAAGCAACAAAUGGAUAGCCGUUGGCGUAAAUGCAAAUGGUACAACAUGCUGCUUGAUCGUGUCAAUCAAACAUGUUAAUUAGC